GGCGAACGCUGGCGGCGUGCUUAACACAUGCAAGUCGAACGAAGAGCGAUGGAAGCUUGCUUCUAUCAAUCUUAGUGGCGAACGGGUGAGUAACGCGUAAUCAACCUGCCCUUCAGAGGGGGACAACAGUUGGAAACGACUGCUAAUACCGCAUACGAUCUAAACUCGGCAUCGAGGAUAGAUGAAAGGUGGCCUCUACAUGUAAGCUAUCACUGAAGGAGGGGAUUGCGUCUGAUUAGCUAGUUGGAGGGGUAACGGCCCACCAAGGCGAUGAUCAGUAGCCGGUCUGAGAGGAUGAACGGCCACAUUGGGACUGAGACACGGCCCAGACUCCUACGGGAGGCAGCAGUGGGGAAUCUUCCGCAAUGGACGAAAGUCUGACGGAGCAACGCCGCGUGAGGGAUGACGGCCUUCGGGUUGUAAAGCUCUGUUAAUCGGGACGAAAGGCCUUCUUGCGAAUAGUGAGAAGGAUUGACGGUACCGGAAUAGAAAGCCACGGCUAACUACGUG
rnacentral:rRNA from 1 species